GACGAACGCUGGCGGCGUGCUUAACACAUGCAAGUCGAACGAUGAAGAAGAGACACGCGAACUUCGGUUCAAAUUUCACUUCGGAUUAGUGGCAGACGGGUGAGUAACGCGUGAGCAACCUACCUCUUACAAAGGGAUAGCCUCGGGAAACCGUGAUUAAUACCAUAUGACACAUUCAUAAGGCAUCUUAAGAAUGUUAAAGCUACGGCGGUAAGAGAUGGGCUCGCGUCCCAUUAGCUAGUUGGUGAGGUAACGGCCCACCAAGGCGACGAUGGGUAACCGGCCUGAGAGGGUGAACGGUCAAAUUGGAACUGAGACACGGUCCAAACUCCUACGGGAGGCAGCAGUGGGGAAUAUUGCACAAUGGAGGGAACUCUGAUGCAGCGACGCCGCGUGAGCGAUGAAGGAAUUCGUUUCGUAAAGCUCUGUUCUAUGGGAAGAAAAGGACUGUACCAUAGGAGAAAGCCCCGGCUAAAUACGUG
rnacentral:rRNA from 1 species